UGGGAGUGUCUUUUGGUGGAGGAAUGCUUGUCACCUACUCCUUUCAAGUUCUCCAAUCUUUCCAUAUGCUUCUUCUAGCUUUUUAGAGAGAGCUUUUGAUCUUUGCUUGCUCUCUGCUUCAAUGGAGAAGCACAAAUGCAAGCUCUGCACUAGAACUUUCGCUAAUGGCAGAGCUUUGGGUGGUCACAUGAAGGCCCACUUAGCCACCCUCCCUCUCCCUCCAAAGACCACGUUGACGACCCAGCAGCAACUUGGGGACCGUACUGAGUCGGCAUCGUCGUCGUAUUCUUCCUCUGGUGCACAACGGGAACGAGAAAUCAAGAACAGAGAAGUUGAAGAGAAGGCUUUGGUUUAUGGGUUGAGAGAGAAUCCCAAGAAGAGUUUCAGGUUCGCAGAUCCUGAGUUCUCUUUUGCUGUUGAUGCUGGGUCUCUUGUUCAAGAUAGAGAAAGCGAGACCGAGUCAAGAAAUCCAACUCGUAUACGAUCCAAGAGGACCCGGAAAUCAGGUUUUGCAGAGAAUCAGAAGCAGAAUUUCGAUAUCAAGAAACUGAAGUUGAAGAAUCCAAGUUCGGUGGAGGCGCCGGCGGAACCAGAACCGGUAAGCUCCGUGUCUGACACUUCCCCCGAAGAAGAUGUUGCCAUGUGUCUUAUGAUGCUUUCAAGAGAUGUUUGGAUGAGAAACAACGAAGAAGAAGAUCAGGAACAAGGUAAAGAUGGGGAAAGAUCAACUGGCAUGAUGUUGCAAGAGGCAGAGGAGAUCAAAGUGAGCAAGAUUCGCGGGAAGUUGAGAUGUGAAAAAUGUAUGAAACUGUUUCGAUCUUCACAGGCAUUGGGAACCCAUAAGAGGAUUUGCUCUCUAAAUGGAACAGAGCUAAGAAACAAUGAAGGUAAUGAAAGAAUUUUCGAGUGUCCAUAUUGCUUCAAGGUGUUUGGUUCGGGACAAGCACUUGGCGGACACAAAAGAUCGCAUCUUAUGGGCACUUCAACUCCAAGUGCUGCUGAAAAUUCUGUUAAACUCGACAACAAUCUGAUAGAUCUUAACUUGCCAGCUCCAACGGAAGAUGAUGACUUUAGUGUGGUGUCUGAUGCCUAAUUCAUGGACACGUACUGUGAAGCUCUCUCAACUCUCAUCGUGAGAUCUAAGUCCAUUCCAUAUAAUUAAUUUUUUAUUUUGUUAUGUGCAAUCGGAUCAACAAGUCGGUAUCUGUAGCUAUAGAUUUUAUUUUACUUUUUAUCCUUAUUGCAUUGAUCAAUGCUUUUUUUUCUCAAGAUUUUGCAUUGGUUUACUUCCAUUCGUGGCUGACCUGACCAUAUUUAAUCCAUUUCUCCGCAGUUGUUAAUUUUUGAGUUUAGCAGUCUGAACUCUGAAAAUUCAUUUCUUUAUGAACUUACCAACUUAUUUAAUGCACAAAAAUUCAUUAGUUGGAGUUUAGUUUCCCCCAACUUCCUCUUUUCCAUUUGUCUUGUUUGUUUGUUUGGUGUGUGAAUUGUGCUUCUUCAGCAACUAACGUGCCUUGUAACAGCAAAAUUUAUGUGUAGUAGUUGCUUAUAUGUAUAUAUUCUAACAACCCAAGUGAAGCAAACACUUACUGCUCUGCUUAUAGACUUUUAAAGUUUUGCUCCAACUUCACUAGUGUUUCUAGUGUACGUUAUACCCCCAUUUCAGUGAUAAAAAGCUAAAGCUUUCCUCGUUUUAUUUUUUUGGCUUGUGAUUGUGGACCUAAAACUUUGGUCUCUGCUUCUGCUAAGUAGCAAAAGCGUUUCAAUUCUGUUAAUAUGUCCUGUUUCUAAUCUCCAGCUGUUCUUUUACUCUAUCUAGUACUACUACUGCUACUAAUCCAUUCCUAUAGCUUGCACAUUAUCAUGACAAUUAUUCAUUACAUUACAAAUUACAUUGCAGUUUACAAGGUUUGUUUAACAGUGUAUAUUCUCUUGACAUUUUCUUCUCAUCUCUCCCUCUCUGUUUGCGGCUAGUAGUUUUAGCUAUUGGAAAGCAUUAAAAGCAAUGAUUUGAAGAGGAACCCGAAAGGACAAAAACAACCUCCAAGCGUAUUGUAAUGGUUUUGCUCUUGCUUUUCUUGGGCUGCUGGGACCUCUUGGAUAUCUUUGAAGGUGACUAGAGAAAAACUGAGAAAGAUCCAAAUCCCUUCAUUUUCUCAGUAAAAAUUUAUCUGCCUUGAAAUGAACGAAAUAUCCGGGCAAAAGGAAGGGCCAUGCUAUUCUUAUCGAAGAAUCAGUCAGAUUUGUUUAUUAUAUUUAUAUUUUAUUAUGUGGUUAUAUAAAUAUUAGAUGCUAUUAUUUCUUUUUUUUUUUUAAAUCGAAAAAAGAAUUGUAAUUGACAUCCUCAUGACAUUUUCUUCAUUAAAAUAUUUCUUUCUUUGAUGCAAAA
rnacentral:misc_RNA from 1 species